rnacentral:tRNA from 6 species
GGGCGCGUAGCUCAGUGGGAGAGCACUCGCCUUACAAGCGAGGGGUCGCAGGUUCGAAACCUGCCGCGCCCACCU